rnacentral:tRNA from 1 species
CACAGGAAUGUGCCCGAAAUACAAGGACUAUUUUGAUAAAAUAGACACAGAGGCAACACCUCUCAUUUCC